UACGGGGGGGAGCAAGCGUUGUUCGGAUUUACUGGGCGUAAAGGGCGCGUAGGCGGCCACCGCAAGUCAGUUGUGAAAUCUCUGGGCUUAACCCAGAACGGUCAGCUGAUACUGCGGGGCUAGAGUGCAGAAGGGGCAACUGGAAUUCUCGGUGUAGCGGUGAAAUGCGUAGAUAUCGGAAGGAACAUCAGUGGCGAAAGCGACUUCCUGGACCAAUACUGACGCUCAUGUGCGAAAGCGUGGGGAGCAAACAGG
rnacentral:rRNA from 1 species